ACGCUGGGCAUUCUUUAGUGAAUAACACGUUUGAUACGAAGAACUGUUAUUGCUCAAGAAUGCCAAUCGU
rfam:Pristionchus pacificus strain PS312 contig7756, whole genome shotgun sequence.